GUGACCGACAGUGGGACCCCUUUGUCCUAGCUAGCGAAGUAUCUAGCUAACGUUAGCUAGUUAGCGAUGCAGUUCAGGCAACCUACGGCAGUGCACCUUAUCCAUGGCCAGGAGGCAUAUCCUGUCCUUGAUGGUCCUCAGCCAGGACCACCACUGGUCGAUGAACAGGCUUUCAGGAGAGAUAAAGAUCAGCUGCAACGGAUCAUCAGGAAUUCCUGCCCAAAGAAUAGACAAAACAAAUAGAUGUGAUCGAUAGAUAGAUUGAUACAGAUGUAUUGUUGGAUCUUACUCUGUGCAGUGUCCUUUGUCAUGUCACCAUGAACGGCAACAGCAGACACUCCAAGGACCGUGUUGUUCUCCAGGUUGAAGCUGAUUAGUAAUUGCACAAAAUCACCUUUGAUUGUAAUGCAAUCACCCGGCAGUGAUGGUGUAGAUGGAAAGUUUGUGCAGUAAUAUGGAUCUGAUUUCCUGUCUACUUUAAGAUACUUCUCUUUUACUGCGGCUCUUUAAUUAUUUGUUACUUUUAUUUUUUUUAUUUUUUUGUGGUAUUUUUCUUAAAACUGCAUUGUUAGUUAAGGGCUUGUAAUGUGUUGUAUUCGGUGCAUGUGACAAAUACAAUUUGAUUUGAUUUGAAAUAUGUUUAAUUUCAUGGCAUAUAGAAAUGUUGUCAUAAAUCAUGUCUGAUGUACAUUCCUCUAUACAACAUGUGCUCACCUUUUCCAUUAAUGGGCCAAAGACCCAAAACAUGCACUGUUGCAGUAGCCAGUUAGCAAGAUUGCACAGACACUUUAGCCAUUUAAGAGGUUCCUCAAGACCUCUUUUUGUUGUAGUCUGAGCAUGUAUAUCUUGGAGAAUGCUAUUAAAUUCUUCCUCUUACAUUC